GUGGAAUAAAAAAGCUCUCCCUAAUUACAGUUUUUAACCCCAAAACGCUUCAUUAACCACAAAAUAUUCCGCGUGUAAAGUAACUCAAAAUUUUAAUUCUAAAAAAUUACAUUUUGUGAGAAUGUCUGGCAGGUGACUGCUGUGGAAGAAUCUCUCCAUUGUUAGAGACUGCUGUGGAAGAAUAGCACCAUUGAUUCAAGAUUGGUGCUAUUAAUAUUGGCACUCCAUUUUUUUUUUUUACUUCACUUGCU
rnacentral:misc_RNA from 1 species